rnacentral:rRNA from 1 species
GUAGGUGGCAAGCGUUGUCCGGAAUUAUUGGGCGUAAAGCGCGCGCAGGCGGUUCUUUAAGUCUGAUGUGAAAGCCCACGGCUCAACCGUGGAGGGUCAUUGGAAACUGGAGAACUUGAGUACAGAAGAGGAAAGCGGAGUUCCACGUGUAGCGGUGAAAUGCGUAGAGAUGUGGAGGAACACCAGUGGCGAAGGCGGCUUUCUGGUCUGUAACUGGCGCUGAGGCGCGAAAGCGUGGGGGAGCAAACAGGAUUAGAUACCCUGGUAGUCCACGCCGUAAACGAUGAGUGCUAAGUGUUAGGGGGUUUCCGCCCCUUAGUGCUGCAGCUAACGCAUUAAGCACUCCCGCCUGGGAGUACGGCCGCAAGGCUG